UCCUGUUCGGGCUCCUCAUGCUCCGUGCAGAGGCUCCAUGGGCCAAAGCCUUUCCCCUGAGACUCAUGCUGCGUUUAGGAGCGGAGUACAGAUUCUAUCCCUGUCCCUUGUUCAGUGUGCGCUUCAGAGAGCCUCUCUUCGGACCCGUCAACAACAGUAUUAUGAGACUCUUAGUGGAUUUCCGUUUUUACCGUUACACACUGCCGACGGUGCCGGGGCUCGUGGUUGAUCUAGAGGCUAGAAGCACCUGUAUAAGAAUCCCUAAAACACGUCA